rfam:Erinaceus europaeus unplaced genomic scaffold scaffold00207, whole genome shotgun sequence
AGAUCGAUGAUGACUUCCCAUUCACACCAGCAUUCCUUGGAAAAGCUGAACAAAAUGAGUGAGAACUCCCUCUGUUUAAAAAAAAAAAAAAAAAGUGA